GAUGAACGCUGGCGGCGUGCUUAACACAUGCAAGUCGAACGAUGAAGCCCAGCUUGCUGGGUGGUUUAGUUGCGAACGGGUGAGUAACACGUGAGUAACCUGCCCUUAACUCUGGGAUAAGCCUGGUCAACUGGGUCUAAUACCGGCUAGGAGCGUCCACCGCAUGGUGGGUGUUGGAAAGAUUUAUCGGUUUUGGAUGGACUCGCGGCCUAUCAGCUUGUUGGUGAGGUAAUGGCUCACCAAGGCGACGACGGGUAGCCGGCCUGAGAGGGUGACCGGCCACACUGGGACUGAGACACGGCCCAGAAUCCUACGGGAGGCAGCAGUGGGGAAUAUUGCACAAUGGGCGCAAGCCUGAUGCAGCGACGCCGCGUGAGGGAUGACGGCCUUCGGGUUGUAAACCUCUUUCAGUAGGGAAGAAGCGAAAGUGACGGUACCUGCAGAAGAAGCACCGGCUAACUACGUG
rnacentral:rRNA from 1 species